GCAUGGUUGGCUCAGCUGGUAGAGCAUGUGACUCUUGAUCUCAGGGUUGUGAGCUCAAGCCCCACAUUGGGGA
rfam:Felis catus isolate Cinnamon breed Abyssinian chromosome E3, whole genome shotgun sequence.